UUUCCGAAGCAUCCGUGCCCAGUCAGCACA
rnacentral:sRNA from 1 species